CCAGACUCCUACGGGAGGCCGCCGUGGGGACUCUUUCACAAUGGGUUUCUCCCUGAUGCCGCUCCGCCGCGUGCGUUCCGAAGUAUUUCGUUCUGUAAAGCUCUGUCAGCAGGGCCGCCGCAAGACGGUCCCUGCCCAAGAAGCCCCGGCUAACUACGUGCCCGCAGCCGCGGUCCUACGUAGGGGGCCCGCGUUAUCCGGAUUUACUGGGGGUAACGGGAGCGUAGACGGCAGGGCAAGUCUGGAGUGAAAGGCAGGGGCCCAACCCAUGGACUGCGCGGGAAACGGGCCGGCUGGAGGGCAGGAGAGGUAAGGGGAAUUCCUAGGGGAGCGGUGAAAGGAGGAGAUAUUAGGAGGAACACCAGUGGAGAAGGCGGCCUACGGGAAGGUAACUGACGGGGAGGCGCGAAAGCGGGGGGAGCAAACAGGAUUAGAUACCCCUGUA
rnacentral:rRNA from 1 species